AUACGUACAUGGCGUAGGAGAUACCGUGAUCAUGCAGGCGGUUCCCCCAGGGCGAGGCUGCUCCAUUGUACUGCAGAGAGGUUGAUCCUUACGAUUAUUCCCAAGAAAGAAAUCAUAAUAACAAUUUUUUUUUUAUUGCCCUUGUAAGCAGAUGAGCAUA